CCUUUUCCCUCCCGAUAGACCUGAGUGUCUGAUCCCAGAUUACCCCAACCCCUCCUAUUCCCCCAGUCAUUACCCAAACACCAGCAGCAUCUACGCUCAGCCAGGACGGUCUGAUUCAGACGCCAAGUGAACAAGAAAAAGAGGAGAAAAGGGGGACAAAAAAAAAAAAGAGGAGCUGGGUCCAAAAUCAGGAAUUGCAGCGGAUUUGUCUCUGCCCAUAAUGACUGUUUACAGUACUGGGAUUCCCAAGUAAUCUGCGUGUCAGAGGCUUGGGGAAGUGUAUUCUACCAGGU